UACGGGGGGGGCAAGCGUUGUUCGGAAUUACUGGGCGUAAAGGGUUUGUAGGUGGCUUGUUAAGUCAGACGUGAAAUCCCUCAGCUUAACUGAGGAAGUGCAUCCGAAACUGGCAGGCUAGAGUACUAAAGAGGGUCGCGGAAUUCCCGGUGUAGAGGUGAAAUUCGUAGAUAUCGGGAGGAACACCGGUGGCGAAGGCGGCGACCUGGGUAGAUACUGACGCUGAGGUGCGAAAGCGUGGGGAGCAAACAGG
rnacentral:rRNA from 1 species